UACGUAGGGGGCAAGCGUUGUCCGGAUUUAUUGGGCGUAAAGAGCGUGUAGGCGGCCAUGCAGGUCCGUUGUGAAACUCGAGGCUCAACCUCGAGACGCCGGUGGAAACCAUCAGGCUAGAGUCCGGAAGAGGAGAGUGGAAUUCCUGGAUGUAGCGGUGAAAUGCGCAGAUAUCAGGAAGAACACCCGUGGCUAAGGCGGCUCUCUAGUACGGUACUGACGCUGAGACGCGAAAGCGUGGGGAGCGAACAGG
rnacentral:rRNA from 1 species